AUGCCACUUAUUGGGAGACAGUGCCUACCCCUCCAAGAAGUGGCUCCUGACACCCUAUGUACGACCUCAGCCGGGCCCACAGUCCGCCUAUAAUAGAGCACACAAAAGGACAAGGAGCACAGUGGAGAGGGGGAUUGGCCAGUGGAAGCGGAGAUUUCAUGUGCUCCAUGGUGAAAUCAGAGUCAGCCCUCCUGCAUAUGUGUGUAGAAUAAUACAGGUGUGUGCUAUUUUGCACAACAUCUGCAAAGACAGACGCCUCCCUGUACCCGAGGAAGGAGAGGACGAGGGUGAUGGUGCAGUUUUCCAUGAGGACCCACCUGUCCCACUACCACCUGUACCUGGACGAGUUCGGGAAGGUCUGCUCUACAGGGAUGAGUUUGUCAACCUUCACUUCAUUGACAGACCUCAACCUCAGCCUCGUGCAGCUGUGUGAUGCUUCCCGACCCAUCAACAGGUUAAUUCCAC